UACGUAGGGUGCGAGCGUUAAUCGGAAUUACUGGGCGUAAAGCGUGCGCAGGCGGCUUUGCAAGACAGAUGUGAAAUCCCCGGGCUCAACCUGGGAACUGCAUUUGUGACUGCAAGGCUAGAGCACGGCAGAGGGGGAUGGAAUUCCGCGUGUAGCAGUGAAAUGCGUAGAUAUGCGGAGGAACACCAAUGGCGAAGGCAAUCCCCUGGGCCUGUACUGACGCUCAUGCACGAAAGCGUGGGGAGCAAACAGG
rnacentral:rRNA from 1 species